GCAAACAAAUGGGAGGAAGACAAGUCAGCACAGAAGAAAACCGGUGGUGCCCAGAGAGGAUCAGUCUGGUUCAGCGGUUCCUGGGCGGGAUCCUUGCUCUGGAAAUAAGGGCUCAUUUCACAUUCUGCCGGGAGGGAAGAGAGAGAGAGCCGUGGCUGGGAGGCAGGAGGACCCCAGGGCCCGGGAGACGAGGCUUCAGUUCCUCUGACUCGACGCCCUCCAUGCGGAUGGAGAGAAGAGAAGGGGUUCCUGAACCUCAAUCUGGCCCAUCUGCCACCACACACUUUCCUUGUCUAGAGGCUGGUGGCCACCUAGUUGCCAAGGAGCCUGGGGCCACGCCUCACCAGGAGAGGCUGAGUUCGCCUUUGGAUCUUUCCAGAAUCCUUUCUGUGCGCACACUGGAGCCCCACCUCCGCUGGUCACGUGGCAAGUAUGUAUUUGGAUAAAGCCAGCGGGUUCUGACAACACCAGUAAAUUCCUCAAAGAAAAUGCUGGGCACGGAGGGACGUGGUGUAGUCUGGGGUGACA